UUACUCUUGUGGGCUACCUGUGCAAAGAUCAGCGGAUUUGCUCAUGAAAAAAAUAAUGGCGGACGAAAAUGAAGAAACUUCUACAUUUUUAGUUCUUUUUGCUCAAGAACAUGUCGAUUUUAGAGUUCCGGAGCUCCAUUCUAUUGCUUCGUUAUUUGGGAUUGAGUUGGUCUGUAAAAGUGGUUAUAUCAAUGAGAGUCCUUUUCUUGAAAUAGUCCUUCCACUUGAUGAUGAUGCUCAAAAAAUACUUUCAAGAUCUUUAUCUAUCAAGUAAGUACUACGUAUUUCUUAUUAUUUCGCCAGAAACUGCAGCCAUAACCUGGCAUGUCAUGUACCCUCAAUAGACCUCUUUUAUGUCAUGUACCGUAUACACAAUGCAUUGUAGGAUAUGUUUGGGACAAAACAUGACAGAUUUCUUUUGCUUUCUCUAGAAACUGACCCCACAAUGCAUUGUAAAUCAAGUAAUGAUGUAAAAGCUUCGUAGGUCCAUUGGUUUCAACACCAGCCAAUAUGAGGCUGCAUACUUUGUCUCGAUUCAUGAAAUUUAACCUUAAACAUCAUUAUUAACAAU